UUUUCAUGUUCGUCUAAUUUCUAAACCUUUUGGAUUAAAAAAAAUAAAAGUAAGAACGAGCAAAUUUACAGUUGAUACUUGAUAGCAAAUCUCUACACAAUUUACCAUAAUUUGGAGGAUUUUUUUUCCCCUCCCCUCGCUAGUGCAGGAUGACAUUCUUUAGUGCAGUAUCACGUAUGAGAUUUAAAAGUAUGGAAAUAAUUGUUUUUUAAAGUAUUUUUUAUUUAAAAAUAUAUUCUAACAUCUUUGCUUCUUUGUGUCUAUACUGUGUCGUUUGUAACAUCUGCUGACCUUGAAACAGGAUCAACUAUUACCAGGAAGGUAACCAAGUUCAUCCCCAGCUUGAUGUGUCUAUACCUUUCAGAAGAGCUCCGAUGACUUGGGCAUCGUGGGUUGAUAGACACAUUAAUCCGAGAAAGACCGAAAGUUUUCUUUCGAAGUUCGGCGCCUUCACAUUUCAGGGGCGGACAAUGGAAUUCGGGUGGGCAUUGCAAGGAAGCUACUCAACCUCUCAAUGAAACUUCAGGUAUGGGCUACCGUGAAAAGAAUUCCGUUGUAGAAGAGAUUAUCGAGCACAAGAAAACUCCAGUAACUUUCUUAAAUAUAACCAUUUUCUCUGGAUUUAGGAUAGGCGGGUAUCCAUCCAUAUAUGCUGGUAAGCGCUCGAGCAUUCAAGAUUGCAGCCACCGGUGUCUUCCUGGUGUUCUAGAUACGUGGAAUGAAUUUUUGUAUUUUCACCUGCUAUCUAAACGAGGGGUUACAUCUUAGCUUGUACAUUCUUUUAGUUUUUUCUGCAUCUUAAACUUUUAGGCAGGCAUGUAGCGUCUCAGAAACACAGGGAAACUCUCGUUUUCUUUCUUUUGCGAAGGAGGCUGAGGUGUUUGCUUGAGAUUCAAUUUAAUGGAAACUGAAAGAAAUUCAUCAUUCUGGAA